ensembl:lncRNA
AAGAAAUUAAACAAUUUUGACUUUCAAUCCUAAACGAUAUCAAUGGAACACGAGCCCUAGUUUGGGAACUGCUGAUUUAUACACUUAUUUCUUCAUGCCACGAAUAAAUCGGGAGAUAAACCCUGUUUUAAAAGCUCCCCUUUUUUUAGUGCAGGUUUUGUGGUUAUGGUUGUUCCCCUAGCACCCUGCUGACUUCUGUGGAAAUGGAAAAGCCAGAACAAGGUAAGUGAAAUGAGGCUUUGAGGAGAAGUGCUGCUGGUGGAUGAGUCGUAGAGGGUGGUCUUGCUUUUUCUGUGCCGUGGUGUAGGCAGCGUUUCUGCAGGCGAGUCCGUAACGUAAGCCUCGUCGGCGCUGCCACGGUCUGCGUUUCCGAGCCAACUUCUUAUGUCACGUCUCAUCGUGCUUGUUUCUCUUGAAGCCUUAACUGUGGCGCUACAUCGGUGUGCCUUUUAAACAGGCUCUAAUUUGAUUCAGACUGAAGACGUGAAACCAGACUUUCACCUACUUGAUCCCAUUUCAUCAGUCAAGCAUGCAGUCCAUUGGCGUCCUGGCUAGAGCGCAGUCCGUACCAGUAAGCAGUCCUAAACCCUUUGGGUUCAACAUAAAAAAUUUUUUUUAAAAAACACGAUAAGCCCAUCUGAACCUCAGGGCCGUCUCUUACGACUACACCAUGGAUCUCUCGGUGUGCGAUUAUGUCGACCUCCAGGUGCAGCCAGCAUGGUCUCUUUCUGACGUGUGCCUCGACUAUGAAAGAUUGCAAGAGGUAAUCUUGCAGUGUGAUGCCGCGGAGGUGUCUGAGAUGAGCCUGGAAUAGCAGCCAGGCUUCCAUCCAGCAACCAAGGCCUCUCGCAACCCAGCUGGACCCAUUGCUCCUUUCCAUACAUCAUACACCACCUUUUUUUUGGACCUGUACAGUAGUGGAGCAGUGAUCAAGGCUCCCCAGGGUCAAGGGUUUUACACAGGCUACAGCCAAACACACAGCUGUUUGAACCAGUGCCAGGAAAAGUUAAACAAACUCCUAUGAAACACGUCUCUCGGACUAAUGGAUCUUCGCGGAGAGUUGGCGCCGCUUGUGACUCGGAGCUGCAAACGAACUGGAAUAAUAACGACCUUGUUUUUCAGGUCUUCGUUUUUGCUCCUUCAGCUUAAUUCAGCACUUUAUCAGAUUACGUUAUUAAUCAAGUACGAGUCAUAAUUCAGGACCGUCAUAGAACGAAAAAAACCGACUUGCCAGUUGAUUAGGUCUCGGCAACACUGCUGCACCUGAUCCAAUCAGACUAGUGUCAUGUCCAGGUCACUGCUGUGCUGAGAAUGAACUACCACCCAAAUAAUCAGUUUGGUGGUGGUCCCGGUCUGUUGAUGGAUGGAAUAGAAAAGUGCUUACACACACAUUGUGGACUACUAGCCAGUAAUAGUAUGCAUACAAAGUGACCUGUACCUAAUAAAACCUAACAUGGAGUUGCCAGAUAUUUAUGAAACGAUCUGGAAUAUUUAGAUAGAGAAAUGACUUGCAUAUAGUGAAAUUUUCUCUCUCUCUCUGCAUUAAACAAGACGCCCUGAUGGAUCAGGGCAAACUGCAACAUGUCUGUGAUCAAAGCUUUAAAAAACAAAACAAAAAACCCAAUGAUUUGACAAAAAGGUUAACAGGCAAUACCUGACCACAGACUUGUUUGUAUUAAGGAAAGUGUCUAAUGCUUUGAAGAGCCGUGACGUGGCUCGGAAAGCAGCUGGGAAGUGUUUUUGUGCCGUCACUCGGCGCUGUGGCCUCCCUCCCUCAUCACACACCUUAUCUCAUUCCGUGACAUGGCAGCCACUUUGGCCUGUCAAGAGAGGUGCCUCUUAUCUGCAGAUUUCCGUGAGAAUCCAACCCCCGCCUCGAGAAAUGCCUGAAAAGAAGCUUUGGAAUUGAGUUGAAAUCCCACAGGAAUUAUCAGACUGUGGGAUCCUGAAUCAGAGAGGCCUAGUGGUGUUUUUUGUUUAUUGUCCUCCUCAGGUGUGUGUGUGUGUGUGUGUGUGUGUAUAGUAUAUCCACACCAAUUUUAAUACAUAACUUUUAAAAAGUUCACUGUAUGUUAAACAGGAGGUUCGCCGAGAGUGCGGAUCCUCGGUGGAGUCGGGUAUCAAGAGGAUAACCAGUGCAGUGUCAAAGGGAGCCACUACUGCCCCACACAAAAGAACGAGUGACACCAGAAAAGAGGGAUGGAGUUUCAGAGGCUGAGCAUGAAAAGGAAAACAUCACCCUCUCCCUCCCUCUCUCAUUAUUAUUAUUAUUUUUUUCUUUGAAAGGCAGCGAAAGAACUCAUGCGGGUCAAGAUGUCUCACCACUAAAGGAAUUUUCACCACUUGAAAGUCUACCUCUGACGGUAUGCAAAAAUGCUCCAAAAUGGCCACCAUAGUGAGUGAUUAGAUCCUUUUUAAUUGAGACGGGUGUGUCCCACUGAAACGAGGGUCAAGGAUGAAUCAACAGGAGCACAUGGAAAAAUGAAAACACAAAUUGUGGCUCUUAUCAUGCCAAAGUCUGAUUUGUCGUCGUUGGCAGCUGAGGAGCCCAAAGGCAGGCUUGGUGCCCUCAUUGCUCGCAGCUUUGUGCCUGGCGAGCACCUUAUCUCUCGCACUUUUCCCAAGGUGGGGGACAGACAAUAGCCUUUCGUGCCACGGGAAGAGAGUGUAGAGUUUUGGGUCCCUCCCUGAGCAUGCGAAGCUUCUGUUCGUGAGCAUAAGGCACAAAGGAAUGAGCUCUCCACCUCCUCCGAACAGGAUUAACAAUCACACAUCGUUCUCACACAACUGCAUGGACUUGUUUAUGGAUGCUACUAUGUUACCUGCUUGGUGCAUGCUCAUAAGAAAUGCUUACAAAUAAAAGAAAAACGGGGAUUUUUUACAUUUUUUUUUAAACAGAUUCUAGUUUAGCAAUGAGCAAAAUGAUGUUGCAGAGCUAAAAACAAAACUGCACCUCCAUCUCUUCAUUCUGGUGUCACGUUGUGCCAGAAUCACUCCCAUAGGGGGCUUGUUCUAACGUUCGAGGGCGGAAUUGUGCGUUUAGAAGUUGUUCAUAUUUAGGCUUGGGUGACUCCAUGACUUUAUCACCGCUACAAUAUAUUACACUACUACAGACCACUGACAUUUACUCCAAGUCAUAUAACCGUCCGAUCUUAUACGGAAAGGAUAGCGUGGAUGCAGGUUUUCAUUCUAAUCAAGCAGAAGCCACACCUGAAUCUACUGAAAGCCAAGAUCAACUGAUUAAACAGGUGGAAUCAGGUGUGGCUCCUGCUUGAUUGGAAUGAAAAACCUGCAUCCACACGGCUCUUUGCGUGUAAGAUUGGACCCUCCUGUUAUCCAUUACACAUUUUGCGUAGGAGUGUAACACUGGAGAUGGUCGGUAUCAGUUAUCACUCAAAAAUACAUUCCUAAUACCAACUAUAUACUAGAUAUAGACAUCUUGGAACGCUGCUUGCUCGAUUAACCUCAUGUAGGAAUCCCAGAAGGUGCUCUUUGGUUGGGUGUCGAUCAUGA